UGGGGGAUAUUGCACAAUGGGCGAAAGCCUGAUGCAGCGACGCCGCGUGGGGGAUGAAGGCUUUCGGGUUGUAAACCUCUUUCGCUAUCGAACAAGGCCCGCUUAGGGUGGGUUGAGGGCAGGUGGAGAAGAAGCGCCGGCUAACUACGUGCCAGCAGCCGCGGUAAUACGCAGGGCGCGAGCGUUGUCCGGAAUUAUUGGGCGUAAAGGGCUUGUAGGCGGCUUGUUGCGCCUGCUGUGAAAACGCGGGGCUUAACGUCGCGCUUGCAGUGGGUACGGGCAGGCUUGAGUGUGGUAGGGGUGACUGGAAUUCCAGGUGUAGCGGUGGAAUGCGCAGAUAUCUGGAGGAACACCGAUGGCGAAGGCAGGUCACUGGGCCAUUACUGACGCUGAGGAGCGAAAGCAUGGGUAGCGAACAGG
rnacentral:rRNA from 1 species